rnacentral:rRNA from 1 species
CAGUCGCCGCGGUAAUACGAAGGGUGCAAGCGUUACUCGGAAUUACUGGGCGUAAAGCGUGCGUAGGUGGUGGUUUAAGUCCGUUGUGAAAGCCCUGGGCUCAACCUGGGAAUUGCAUCCAAAACUGGCAAGCUAGAGUAUGGUAGAGGGUGGUGGAAUUUCCUGUGUAGCGGUGAAAUGCGUAGAUAUAGGAAGGAACACCAGUGGCGAAGGCGACCACCUGGACUGAUACUGACACUGAGGUGCGAAAGCGUGGGGAGCAAACAGGAUUAGAGACCCGCGUAGUCCCUGUCUCUUAUCC